CCGACGGAUACAAGGGCCUCGGGGCAGGGGCGGGGGUACCAACGACGGCAGGACGAGGGGAGAGGCCGAAGGGGCCAGACUUGAGCGGCGGUGGGCGGAGAGCGGACGGAGGCCCCAGGCACGGAGCGGCUGGUGAGCGGCAGCGGCUCAGGGGGAACAGAGGCACGGGGGCGGCGCGGUAAGGGGUGCGCGACGAAGUGGCGUGGAUCGGCGGGUCAGGACAGACGCCGCCAGCCGCCACACGUCCGCACGUGGGGCGGGACGUGAUGUAGUCGUCGGUGGUCGAUGGCCGGUCGGGAGGGUGGCAGGGUGCUGAUUUGCGUUUAAGUGUCCAUGCCGAUAGAUAGUUGUAAGGGGUUAAAAGGGUCAAAAACUAAGUUUGGGAUACAACUAACUAAGUAAAAGACAAACAAGUCAAUACUAACUAUGAGUACGUCCCUAAGUGUCUAAUCUUACAAAAAAAAGAGUAUCUUAACAACUUCUUAACAGCUUAAAAAAAGAACACCUUAACAACUUCUUAACCAUAUACAUGACACAUCCGAAGAAAAAUACGUUUUGACUCUGAAUCAACCCUUAAAACCACACAAACAUUUUGGUAUAGUUACAUAUAGACGCACGACAACCAUUUAUGAGAAAGGCAGAGUAUUACGUUUUGCGAAAAACUGUGAUUACAUCGCAAUUUUUCGCAGAAUGUAAUGUAAUACCCUGCCUCCCUCAUGAUUAAUCUUGCAAGUGUACAACAUAAACAACAGCAAAAAAAAAACAUCCAUCUCAGGUGGACAAAAUUUAAGGAUCUAGACCGAUCGCCUCUCGCCUUCCCCUUCGGCUGCCGCUGGCGCGGGGGCACUCUACCCUUACCUCCUCAGCCGCCCCCCACGGCGCUCCGUCCGGUUCCUCAGCGACCUCGACCGCAAGGUCUACAGGGUCUAGGACCUGUGGCCGGAGCUGGCGGUGUGGGAGAGCGACGAGUACCGCGAGACGCUGGCGCCGCGGUUGGGCCUCCGGGAGCGGCGGGAGCAGGCGCUCGAGAGGAGGCGGCGAGGCGGCAGACGGCGGCGGUGGCGUGGGCGGAGGUUGUGGUGUCGCCGGGGCCGGUGGGGGAGCAACAAGGGGAGGCCGAAAGCGGUCGAGAUCCGAUGAUCCCAAGCACGGGAGCUGAGGAAGAAAAAGGAGGGUCUACUGUGGCGAACAGUGAACUACCGCAACACACACACGUGCAUCCGGAAGGUACGACAUACGACUUUGACCAAGGACUAAACAUAAGAGCUCUUAGCUCUAACCAUUACGUUCCCCCCAGACACAGUUUGAGACAGUGCGAGAUCGUUUACUAAAAGAGAAGACAACCGACUUUAACGAAGGACCAAACAUAGGAGUUCUAACUAUUACGUUACCUCAGACACAGUUUAAGACAAUAGGUGUAAGAACGUGUACCUAACUAAGCAACCUCAAUAGGUAUAGCAAUACUGUGGUUACGUUCUAACGUCUCUGCUUAAACUUUAUGCCAGAUGAAUAAACCCAGUGGACAUAUUUAUACUUAAGGUGCAAAUUCACUGACCUUAGUAAGGGUACUCAUCUUAACAACAAUACAGUUACAAGGAACAAAACCUCCGUAGGGUUAAUCAUCGAUAAGAAAUAGUAAGCAAACCGACUCCACAGAUGUGUGUACAAAGUUAGUAACGAUCUAAGUAGUAUAAGUUCCUGACUCGUAAACUUGAGUGGAAAGUAACACAAUAAUAAAAGAAAUAGUGAUUACAAAUAUGUCAUCAUUUUACUAGUGGUUCAAUCGAGUAACAGGAACUUGUUUCCACCUUCGUUUACCUUUAUGAAAUGUGUCAAUCGGACGGAUACGAGGAGUGGUUACCAACAUUCCAAACCAACGUAGUAAUAACACUCUAAAACUUAUGAGAUGUUUCAGACGGAUACGAGGAGGGUUUAUCACAAACGCCCGACCGGACGGGUAGCAUCUUAACACUCAAGCUGUAAAAUUGAUGUUCCCUCGCACGAGUACUCGUCUCACCAACAAUACAGUUACAAGAAACAAGAUCUGAUCUCCGUAGGAUUAAUCAUCGAGAAGAGACAGUAACCAAACCAACUCCAUGUACGUGCCUACAAGGUUGUUGACGACCUAUGUAGUAUAAGUUCCUGUAGUAAGCUGAAGUGGGAAAUCAUUCAAUAACAAAAGAGAUAGUGAGACCCUAAAUUCCUCCUUUACGAAAUGUUUAGGUUGUGUACGAAGAGUGACCACCACAUAAGUUCAACCGGACGGGUAGCAUAAAAAGUAGAACAAAGGACUACAACAUAUUUAGAUUAUCAGUUCGUCAUCGGAACAUAGGUUAAUUCAACAUAAAAGUUCUUGUUUUUUUUACAUGAUCAUAUAUCAAAUCUUCAACUAUAGAGGGUUCCACUAAACUUCGUAUGUUGGUACUACGUUGGUUUGAAAUAAUACGAUUCUUUUUAAGAGGGUACAGGCUUUAAAGUUAGUCACACGUUGGUGAUCUCCAUGGUGGAGAAAGAGAAAUGUUGUAAGAUUUGUAGUGGAAGUAAGUAAGUCGUCCAUGGCUUUUGACCUGCGUUGACUUCAAGAACUAAACUUCAGCCUGGUUUAGACUAUGAACCGAACGACCUUCUCUGCCUAAUCGAAACCAGUCCUCCUUCGUUUAGAACGAGACGCUACGUGAACACUACAACAAAGGUGGUCUUUUUCAACAGCGAGUAACUCAAGGACAUUUAACCGUAGAAAGAAACGAACUGAACCUGUGAUGACAUGAUUAGUACUACCGGUGACGGUGACGGGGAAGUAAGUAUCAGAAGAAUAUAAGGGUAGCGACAUACGUAGUCGACCUGUAGACCACAAGACAGCUAAUAGGAGAGCAACUGCUACCACAGUACGAAUAGACUUUCCUUGUGCAGUACCGGACCACCGGUACUUAGCUCGAGAGCAUAAGCCCUAUUGUCAGUUUUUCGAUACUUUUUACUACUGUAGAGAACGACUCCGACUCUUAGGUGCUAUGUUUAAAUG
rnacentral:rRNA from 1 species